CUCAUACUCCCUCCGUCCUGAAAUUCUUGUCUUAGAUUUGUCUAGAUACGGAUCUAUCUAGUUAAGCUUUAGUGUUAGAUACAUCUGUAUCUAGACAAAUCAAAGACAACAAUUUUGGGACGGAGGGAGUAUAAU
rfam:Triticum aestivum genome assembly, contig: Triticum_aestivum_CS42_TGACv1_scaffold_526676_6DL